rnacentral:rRNA from 1 species
AAUGGCGAACGAACAGGGAUCAGCUUGGGUUGGAAACCAAGGCAUCUGCCUUGGAUUGUGGCCUUUAGACAUUGUACCAACGGCGGCGCGAGCGUAAGCCUCUUGGAAUAGAGCGUCUACCUGGGUGAGAAUCCUGUGUUUCGCUUGAUGUCCGCCGUGCACGGUACUUGCUCACAGAGUCACGCUCCUCGGAAUUGGAUCGUAAAUUGGGUGGUAAAUUUCAUCUAAAGCUAAAUACAGGCUCGAGACCGAUAGCAAACAAGUACCAUGAGGGAAAGAUGAAAAGGACUUUGAAAAGAGAGUUAAAAGUGUUUGAAAUCGCUGAACUGGAAGCGAAUGGAACUAGUGCUCUGGCUGAGAUUGCUGUAAGUGGCAGCCAAAUUUGGGUGUCUGAACGCAAGUCUCUCACCUGGCUGUAAGCUGUUGCUUGCAAUGUGUCUCAGCUUGAAUGUCAAUGUCUAUGCGCGCAUGAGGAUG